rnacentral:rRNA from 1 species
UUGCACACACGAGUUG